GAUCAUGGCUCAGGACGAACGCUGGCGGCGUGCCUAACACAUGCAAGUCGAGCGAGGAGAUCCUCGGGAUGAUCCUAGCGGCGGACGGGUGAGUAACACGUGGGCAACCUGCCUCAUAGAGAGGAAUAGCCUUCCGAAAGGGAGAUUAAUACCUCAUAACAUUGCAGUUUCGCAUGGAACAGCAAUUAAAGGAGUAAUCCGCUAUGAGAUGGGCCCGCGGCGCAUUAGCUAGUUGGUGAGGUAACGGCUCACCAAGGCGACGAUGCGUAGCCGACCUGAGAGGGUGAUCGGCCACAUUGGGACUGAGACACGGCCCAGACUCCUACGGGAGGCAGCAGUGGGGAAUAUUGCACAAUGGGGGAAACCCUGAUGCAAGCAACGCCGCGUGAGUGAUGACGGCCUUCGGGUUGUAAAGCUCUGUCUUCAGGGACGAUAAUGACGGUACCUGAGGAGGAAGCCACGGCUAACUACGUGCCAGCCGCAGC
rnacentral:rRNA from 1 species